UAUGGCCAAAUCACAUUGAAAUACUGUUUCCUAUAUGAUCACUGAAGUUAAGCAACAUCAUGCCUGGUCAGUACCUAGAUGGGUAACUGCUUAGGAAUACCAGGUGCUGUAA